UCGGUGACAAGGGUCUGUAGUUUGCUGAGCACUGCAUAAAACCCUCAUUCAUCGUGUGGAUUAAUCAGCGCUGGUUUAGGUUGUUUCUGUACAAAAUGGUAAGGGUUACUGAGUUUAUAUUUAUAGAAAAUAUAACAUGCAUCCAGGCCCGCUCACCUGCGGGACUAAUUUUAAUGGACAGACACCUAAACGCCGUUCGAUCUUAAUGAUUCAAAUCUGACGGGCCACAUAAACUUCACAAAACUUCUCAGACUCCGCCUAUCCCUUUCUCGUUUUCUCUUUCUCUCCUCUCUCUUUAUUCUUUUGGAAGUAUGAUGUCACUGACUCACAGGCAACAUGUCAAGGGUGCUGGAGGGUGGUGAUCGAAUUAAACAUGAAGAACAAAGUGCUUGAAAGUCGGGCUGGCGAGGAAACGGCGUUAGCUCGCUGAACAUGGAUGCAUCUCCGGCGAAAUGUCGAUCUCUUUUCCUUGUUGGUUGCUUCAAUCUGAAUGAUCCCUUUUCUCAAGUAGAACUACACUUCGGUUUAGAGACUCGGAGGUUUACCAUGGGGAUCAUUUGAAUUUUGCAAAUUCAUUGUUUACAAUCAAACUGGGUUUUGUAAUUUUGUAAUUGUUCUUAUGUGAAUGAUUGGGGUUGUUGUCAUCUUUGAUUUCAUUUCAUUUGGCAACCUUGAUUGAAACCCAACUAUUAAUGAAUGUUUGAUGAUUCAUGAGUCUUAAACAAGACCAAAUUGAGGGAGCCAGAACGAAUGAGUUAGAAGCCCAGAAGAAUGGAGAGAGGGGAGAGAACAGAAAAUGAGAAGGGAGAGGGUUUGUAAAGUUUAUAUGAGCCGUCAGAUUUGGUUCAUUAAGAUCGAACGGCGUUAGCCGUCUGUCCCUCAAAACUAGUCCCGCAGGUGAGCGGGCCUGAACUGUCUGAGCAUGCAUCACGUUGAUGAGGCAAUUAGGUGUGAAUGAUG
rnacentral:lncRNA from 1 species